rnacentral:rRNA from 1 species
CCUACGGGUGGCAGCAGUGGGGAAUAUUGGGCAAUGGGCGCAAGCCUGACCCAGCAACGCCGCGUGAAGGAAGAAGGCUUUCGGGUUGUAAACUUCUUUUGUCAGGGACGAAGCAAGUGACGGUACCUGACGAAUAAGCCACGGCUAACUACGUGCCAGCAGCCGCGGUAAUACGUAGGGGGCAAGCGUUAUCCGGAUUUAUUGGGUGUAAAGGGCGUGUAGGCGGGAAGGCAAGGCAGAUGUGAAAACUAUGGGCUCAACCCAUAGCCUGCAUUUGGAACUGUAUUGCUUGAGUGCUGGAGAGGCAAGCGGAAUUCCGAGUGUAGCGGUGAAAUGCGUAGAUAUACGGAGGAACACCAGUGGCGAAGGCGGAUUGCUGGACAGUAACUGACGCUGAGGCACGAAAGCGUGGGGAGCGAACAGGAUUAGAUACCCUGGUAGUC